GAUGAACGCUGGCGGCGUGCCUAAUACAUGCAAGUCGAGCGAACAGACGAGGAGCUUGCUCCUCUGACGUUAGCGGCGGACGGGUGAGUAACACGUGGAUAACCUACCUAUAAGACUGGGAUAACUUCGGGAAACCGGAGCUAAUACCGGAUAAUAUAUUGAACCGCAUGGUUCAAUAGUGAAAGACGGUUUUGCUGUCACUUAUAGAUGGAUCCGCGCCGCAUUAGCUAGUUGGUAAGGUAACGGCUUACCAAGGCAACGAUGCGUAGCCGACCUGAGAGGGAGAACGGCCACACGGGAACUGGGACAAGAUACAGACGCAGACGGGGGGCAGCAGGAGGGAAUCUUGCGGAAUGGGCGAAAGCCGGACGGAGCAACGCAGCGUGAAGGACGAAGGUCUAAGGAUCGUAAAACGCGGUGAGUAGGGAAGAAAAAAGGUGGAAGAAACUAUGCACGGCUUGACGGGACCUAAGCAGAAAGACACGGCGAACUACGUG
rnacentral:rRNA from 1 species